GCUAAGUUGACUACGUGCUCUCAAUACUUGUCCAACUUACUGCCUGCCGCCCAAGGUCUUUAAAGAUCAUUAUAUAUUAUAGAGAUAUUCAAUAAUUAAUAUAGAUCUUGAUUCUUGUCGACAAUGACGCUGCUCAUGAUCAUCGUAUUACUACUUCACCAAUUAAAACACAGUUCUGUUUCAUCAAGUUCUGUCGUGCUCACUUUGUACAUGCCAGAGAAGAAUACAAUUAGAAUUGAACAAUGAUUUACGUUGUUGUUUGUUGGGCGUCUAUUGCACCACAUUAUUGAUGCUGAAUGAAUAUACAGUUUGGCAGCAGAAGCAUCAAAGUAAAAUCAAAUUUGCAUUUCAUUGCUAUAUUAAUUAAAAUUAAUUGUUGGCCAGAAAACUGGUUGAAAGUAAACUUGUGUGCGAAAGAAAAAAAAGGAUAAGGAAAAAACCACAUUUUUACUAAUGAUUGGUCUUAAUACAAGAUUAUUGUUUAUGCAAUU